GAGAUCUCGCGGGAUUCGAUGAACCGCGAGGGGCCGGCGGGCGGCUCGACCUUAGCCCUAGAACCACACUACGCAAGCGCAGGACUAAACCCGGCUCCGCCCCCUCCGGAGGGCGGGGUUUUGAAGUUUAGACCGGAUCCCGUGGACCCCCAAGGUCGGUGAGAAGUGGCGGGGACACGUGAUGGGUUGCUAGUCUAGGUAAGGAGUUUACAGACAUUAACGCCCGUUGGUGUUCCGCGGCCGCCCCCGCCGCCUGGACCCGGAGAGUUCACAUCCAGUGAGUUCCCCUCAAGUCCCCGGUGUCCUCCUCGGCUCCCCGGGACGCGAACCCACGCCCUGGCACGGCCUGCGCGCUCUGACUUUGGCGCUCUACAGCCCCAACCUCAAGGAGGGAUUUUACUCAUGUUGUACUCACGGCGUCUUAGGCUGGGAACUUACCCUGAGACAGGUACCAUCGAGCCUAACCCUUGUCUUUGUAGGUGGGGAAACUAGAGCCGUGGUUCUCAACCUUCCUAAAGCUGCGACCCUGUAAUACCGUUCUUCAUGUUGUGGUGACCCCUAACCAUAACAUUAUUUUGUUGCCACUUAAUAGCUGUCACUUUGCUACUGUUACGAAUUGUAAUGUAAAUAUCUGUGUUUUUCGUUUUGAUUGGCCUCCCAAAGGUGUCGUGACCCAUAGGUUGGGAAAACACUGGACUCGUCCCUAGAGAAUAUGAAGUCUACCCUAGAGGAUAUGAUGUCUUUAAGCCAGUUAAGGAAAGCACUGGAGUUACAAGCUCUCUCUGGACUGCUGGCCCAGGGACCUUUAGUCUUUUUAUGUACACACACACACAUAUACACAUACACGUUCCAGAUUGGUUAAAAAUGGUUUAGAAUGUGUAUUGAUUUCUUAGUUUAAUCAUUAAGCUCAUUUUUUCAUAAACUGGACUGGAUUGAGCAAGGCUUGUUUCUAGGAUAAUUUUGGAUCUCCAGGAGCUACAAACCCUAAAAAACUGUUCUGAAUUAGGCGGCUGUAGAAAUCACAGCAAGAGCUAAUGACGGAGCACUAACACUGGUAUAGAAUUACAGAGUAGUUGAAGCCGGUCGGUGGUGAUGCAUGCUUUUAAUCCCUCUGAGUUAAUCUUUUAAUCUCUGUGCGAUGGAGGCCAGCCUGGUCUACAGAGAGAGUUCCAGGACAGCCAAGGUUACACAGAGAACUCUGUCUUGAAAAACCAACCAAACAAACAAAAUUGAAUAGCUGAAAAAUGAGUACCGACCAUCGAAUGGGCAGCCAUCAAACGAACUGGAGACCCUGGUAGCAAGCACAUCCAAACAUUUUCACUUCCUUUGAAAAACCUCAGGAAAGGGCUAGAAGAAUGUUAUCACUUUACAAAUACCUUCUGGCAGGACCUGAUCUCUUAGUGGUCAGAUGAAUGAAAAUAGAAAAAGGAAAUGUGAUGGUGGCGCAGGUCUUUAAUCCCAGCACUCGGGAGGCAGAGCCAGGCGGAUCUCUGUGAGUUCGAGGCCAGCCUGGUCUACAGAUCCAGGACAGACACCAAAACUACACAGAGAAACCCUGUCUCAAAAAAUCAGAAGAAAAAAAAAAGAAAAAGGAAAUGUUCCAAUAGAAUAAAAUUGAUGGUAGAAAAUAAAGAUAGUCUAUAGCUUAGGUCUAAAAUUCAAAGAGAAGAAACUUGGUUUGGGCUCUUUUGAUGUGAGGCUCCCUUUUCUCCUUAAAAUGAGUUCUAGGUCCCAGCAGUUCAAAAACUGAAUGGAGGAGUUCAGGUAUAUUUUCACUUAUUUUCCCCCCUUCUAGAUUUUCUCUUAACACUAAGGAUUGCUAUCAUUUGUGUGAUGCUUAACUUGAUUUAUACCAUGCAUUACAUGAUUUGUUCCUUUAUAUGAUUUAAUUUUCUUGUGUUUUGUUGUUUUGUUUUGUAUCAGGGUGCCUCUACAUAGACCUGGCUAUCCUGGAACUCAUUAUGUAAACCGGGCUGGCUUCGAACACACAGAGAUGCACCUGCCUCUUCCUUAUUCAGAUUGUGAGGAUCCAGGAGAAGACGAGGCCCAGCAUCACAACUGGCUUAGACACUUGUUUAAAGUAGCUUCUGUCUCUCUGCCUUAGGUAAUCAACCGAUGCUUUGGGCUCCUUUGGUAUCCAAAAAAGACUUGGAGAUACGUGGCUCCAGCAGUCUGCCUUUCCCUGUGGCUACUGAAGAACCACUAGGCAAGGGCUUGUAGUUCAAGUGAACUGUCACUUCACUCUUGUUAUGAUUUGAAUAUGACAUGUCCCCACAGGCUCAGCUGAUGCACUGUUUUGGAAGAUUUGGGAAAUAUUAGGAGGAAGGGCCUGAUUAGAGGAAGUGGGUUGUGAGCGUGGGGGCUUCGAAGAGUGUCUUAUUCCUGGGUUCUUCUUGUCUUUAUUUUUCCUUUCUGUCUAUCAUGAGCUGAACAUGCUUUACCACGUGCUCUCUGCCAUGACGUUCAGCUUCCACACAGGCCAGAAGCAACAGAGCCAAGUGACAACGGUGAACUGAAACCCCGGAGACCGUGAGCCUAACCAGUCUUCCUCCUUAUACUGUUAAUCUCAGAUCAUCAUCACAACAGCAAAGAACUGCCUGACAUGUACUUCAGAGAGCACUCCCAAGUCAGCCACCCGCUCUGCCGGGGAAAUGCUUUGCAGAACUGUUUCAAGUGAUUGUAUUUUACUUUUCAAAAACUAUUAUAUUUUACCAUGCUUUAUUAUUAUGUUUUUCUACUUUUAUGGUUAUACUUUAUUAUUUUUACUACUAUAUCUACUGUAAAAGAAUCAUAAAACUUAACCGCAUACUGCAGUUAUUCAUUUACAAAUAAUGAAUGUGUGGCACACACCUUUAAUCCCAGCACCUGGGAGGCAGAGACAGGCAGAUCUCUGUGAGUUCGAGGCCAGUCUGGUCUACAGAGUGAGUUCCAGGACAGCUAGGGCUACACAGAAAAACCCUAUCUUGAAAGACAAAAACAAAACAAAACAAAUAAAUGAACGAAUAAAUGAAUGCUCAGAAGAAUGACUAAAAUCAUCCUUUGGUUCCUUUAUCUGGUCUGGAAUGAUAACUCAGUAGGUUAAUAGCACUCUCACCCACGCCUGAAGGCCUGAGUUCAAGCCUUGCAACCCUCGUGGUGGAAAGAGAACUGACUCCAAGUUGUCCUCUGACCUUCAGGGGACUGGGGUUCAGUUCCCAGCACCUACACUAGGUGGCUCACAAACACCUGUAACCCCAGUUCCAGGGAUCCAACAUCCUCUGACCUCCAUGGGCCACCUGAACGCAUGUGAUGCCUGUAAACUCAUGCAGGCACACAGAGACACAAAUAAAAAUAAUAAAUAAAAGCUUAAAAAGAACAGAUAAAUCAUUUUUAUUUUUUAUUUUUUUGGAGACAGAGUCUCUAUGUAGUCCCAGCUGGGCUGGAACUCAAAAUGUAGAGCAGGAUGGCCUGGAACUCACAGAAAUCCGCCUGCCUCAGCCUCCAGAGUGUACCAACACUGCCUAGUUUGAGACUUGUUUUUCUUCUGUUAAUCUGUUUUAAUAGCAACUUAACUUAUGCAAAGAGCCUAGCAGGCAAAGGGAAGCAUUCUCCCAGCCAAGCACUGGCAUGAGCAUACAACUUUUAGUUGAUUUUAUCAUUCCAUCAGUUUGAACAAAAAAACCCAUUAAACUAUAAUUAAGAUCUUUAGAUAAAAUAGGAAGAGAUGUUGGGAGAGGGCAGAGGGUGUAUCUACAGAAGGCGCAUAGAAUAAAAUCAGUCAUUGUCUUAGGGUUUGUUUUUGGAUUUUUCUUGUUUGUUUGGUUUGGAAUUUUCAAGUAGUCCUGGCUGUCCUGGAACUCACUCUGUAGACCAGACUGGCCUUGAACUCACAGAGAUCUGACUACCUCUGCCUCCUGAGUGCUGGGAUUAAAGGCUUGCGCCGCCACCACCCAGCGUCUUAUAGAGUUCCCCUUGCUAUGAUAAAACACCAUAUCCAUAAUCUAUUUGGAAAAGAAAGAGUUUGUUUCAUCUUACAGUUUAUAGUCCAUCAUUCAAAGGAGUCAGGGCAGGAACUUGGAGGUGAGAACUGAAGCAGAAGCCAUGGAGGAGUGUUGCUUACUUGUUUACGCCUCUUGGCUCGCUCAGCCUGCCUUCUUACAACACCCAAGGCCACCAGCUCAGGAAUGGCACUACCCAGGGCCCACAUCAAUCGUCAACCAAGUAAAUGCCCUACAGACUUGCCCACGGGCUAAUCCUAGGGCGUCAUUUUCUUGAUUUAAGAGUACUUCUUCCCAGGUGAUCCUAGCUCGUCUCAAGCAGACAUAGAGCUAGCCAGCACAGGGAUGAAACAAACGGAAAGAGCUGUCGAGGAGAAUGUCUAAAACAUAACCUGCACUAAAGUCCUUGACAACGGUUUGAGGUUACUCUCGGGAGGAACUCUCACUUAAACCUCUGUGUUCAGAAACAGGAUUGCAAGGAAGCCAACUCCUGAACACUAUGGAAGAACAGACACAAACAGACACAUAGCAAAAGUGGACAAGUGCGUGAAUACAGAUCUGCUUGCUGUCAAAACAGACAAGUUCAUGAAACCUGGGAAAGUGGUGCUGGUCCUGGCUGGACGCUACACUGGAUGCAAAGCCGUCAUCGUGAAGAACACUGAUGAUGGCAUCUCACACCCUUACAGCCAUGCCCUGGUGUAAUGGACCACUAUUACAGUGGCUGAAAUGGACCACUAUUCCUGAAAAGUGACAGCUGCCAUGGGCAAGAAGAAAAUCGCCAAGAUAUCAAAGAUCAAGUCCUUUGUGAAAGUGGAUAACUACAACCGUCUCAUGCCACAAUGUGAUCCUCUGGGGAUAGCCCCUUGGACCAAACUGUUGUCAACAAGGCUGUCUUUAGAGACCCAGCUCUGAAACGCAAGGAGCAGGUCAAGCUUGAGGAAUGAUACAGGGAAGAACAAGCGGUUUUUUCAGAAGCUUCACUUACAGGUGUAUUUUUUGUUCCCAUCGUUAAAAUUUAUUUAAAAAAGAGAAUUUCCCUUCUAAGGCAUUCUAACCAAGAAGAAGCUCUUGGUUAGUAGCUCCUUAGAUGACUGCAGACUCCUGAUGGCAUAUCAUCCUGUAUUGUUCUCUGACUUUUGUGGUCCCUGUAUGUCCCAAGUCAGUGAUCUGUUGCUGUGAAGAGACACCAUGACCAUUGCAACUCUUAUAAAAGAAAGCAUUUAACUGGGGCUGGCUUACAGUUUCAGAGGUUUAGUCCAUUGUCGUCAUGAUGGGGAGCAUGGCAGCGUGCAGGCAGACGUGGUGCUGGAGAAGGAGCUGAGAAUCCUACAUCUGGAUCCACAGGCAACAGAAGGAAAAGAGAGACUCUGGGCCUAACUAGGACUUUUGAAACCUCAAAGCCCACCCUUAGUGACACACCUCCUCCAACAAGGCCACACCCCCCUAAUCCUUCUCCAAAAGAGCCACUCCCUGAUGAGUAAGCAUUCACUUAUAUGAGCCUAUGGGGGCCAUUCCCCAUGGUGUACAGUGCUCACAUACCAGGUAGGUAUGUACAUGAGUGUUGGUUUAUUUGCAGCACUCUUACCCUGCGAGGAAGGGUCAUGACCCGGAUGUUUUGCCUGCAUGAGUGUCUGUGCACCGUGUGUGUGUAGUACUUGUGGAGACCAGAAGAGGGUGUUGGUCUCCUGGGACUAGAGUUACAGU